rnacentral:rRNA from 1 species
AACGAACGUUAGCGGCGCGCCUAACACAUGCAAGUCGAGCGAGAAAGGGCUUCGGCCCCGGUACAGCGGCGCACGGGUGAGUAACACGUAGGUAAUCUGCCCCCAGGUGGUGGAUAACGUUCCGAAAGGAGCGCUAAUACAGCAUGAGACCACGGUCCCGUGAGGGAUUGAGGUCAAAGCCGGCCUCUUCACGAAAGCUGGCGCCAGGGGAGGAGCCUGCGGCCCAUCAGCUAGUUGGUAGGGUAAUGGCCUACCAAGGCGAAGACGGGUAGCUGGUCUGAGAGGAUGGUCAGCCACACUGGAACUGAGACACGGUCCAGACUCCUACGGGAGGCAGCAGUGGGGAAUCUUGCGCAAUGGGCGAAAGCCUGACGCAGCGACGCCGCGUGAGUGAUGAAGGCCCUCGGGUUGUAAAGCUCUGUGGAGGGGGACGAAUUAGCGCCGGCUAAUACCCGGUGUGAUGACGGUACCCCUUUAGCAAGCACCGGCUAACUCUGUGCCAGCAGCCGCGGUAACAC